GGAAAUUCUAAAGAUACAGAAAGCAGCACAGGAGUUGUUCUAGGUGCAAUCAUCGGCUCAAUCUUAGGAAUUGCAUUAGUCUGCAUAGUUGCUUAUUUCUUGUGUGGAUCCAAGAAAACCGGUAGCUUUUCCCACCGACGACUAUAUGAGGAAGCUAGGAAUGAACCAGUACUACGGUUGGAUAACCCUGUAAGCCCCUAUGAUGUCAGCUAUGGGGAUUCAUCUUUUUACAACCCUACAGUCGUAGAAGAGGCUCCGUACAAUAGACCACAUGAAACCAUUGUAAUGGAUGAUAUCCGUCCUCGAUAAUCAA